rnacentral:misc_RNA from 1 species
GGGGAGGAGAGGAAAACUAAGGUAUAUUAUUUGUAAAUACAUCACUGGCAUUAGCAUUAUAAUUGUGUCUUAGUGUUAUUUACAGGUAUUUAUGUGAAUAUAUGUUGUGUUCCUUUUUGUUUGAAUUCCACGUGAUACAUUGUGACUUGAAAUUUUUCGGUGUACUGUAUUGAAAUGAUACUCUGAAACUUUGCUUUUAGUUUGGCCUUUAUAUGCUUUGUGGUAAUUACCUCAAUUUAGCAAUUGACAUGGCAUGUGCUGUGAAAUAAAUGGUGGCUGUUGCUUUCUAAAGGAAUUAAUGAUUUUUUGGAUAGCAUUAAAUAGAUUCAUUUUAAGUUCAUUUCAUUUUAUUUAUUUAUUUUCGUAUGGUUGAUUAUGUCUGCCGUUGAAGUGAUAGGAUUUAAGGAAUUAAUGAAACUGGUCUGUGCAAUGCAAUGCAAUAGGAUAUCUAUGGUUGAUAAUUCUGUCUUCUAUUGGAACAGCAUUUAAAGAAGAACCGAGAUC